UACGGAGGGUGCAAGCGUUAAUCGGAAUUACUGGGCGUAAAGCGCGCGUAGGCGGUUUGAUAAGUCGAUUGUGAAAUCCCCGGGCUCAACCUGGGAAUUGCAGUCGAGACUGUCAGACUAGAGUGAUGUAGGGGAGACUGGAAUUCCUGGUGUAGCGGUGGAAUGCGUAGAGAUCGGGAAGAACACCAGUGGCGAAGGCGGCCCGCUGGGCAGUGGCUGACGCUGAGGCGCGACAGCGUGGGGAGCAAACAGG
rnacentral:rRNA from 1 species